CACUCCUUCCAUGAGGGUUGAUGCUACACAUCCACAAGCAGUUUGAGAAAAGGCAUUGUGAGGUCUCUGCUCAAACAGCAGAGGAUUUGAGGUGAUUAAGAGAAACCUGGUGAAUGCAGUAAAACCCCAGUUGGAUGAUGUGCUCCUGAUGAGGAUGAAUUCUAGACUGUGCUCUCUGAAAAAUAAGUCAAGGGACCAAAAGCAGUGGGUGGGGUGGGGCCAGCAGA